GAAAAUAGGUCAGCCAGUAGAGCAUGAGAUUCAUAAUCUCAGGGUCAUGGGUUUGAGUCGCACGUUGAGCA